rnacentral:rRNA from 1 species
UACGGAGGAUCCAAGCGUUAUCCGGAUUUAUUGGGUUUAAAGGGUGCGCAGGCGGAAGAUCAAGUCAGCGGUAAAAUCGAGAGGCUCAACCUCUUUCCGCCGUUGAAACUGUCGGUCUUGAGUGGGCGAGAAGUAUGCGGAAUGCGUGGUGUAGCGGUGAAAUGCAUAGAUAUCACGCAGAACUCCGAUUGCGAAGGCAGCAUACCGGCGCCCGACUGACGCUGAGGCACGAAAGCGUGGGUAUCGAACAGG